rnacentral:lncRNA from 1 species
AUUCUUUUCAAAAGAUAAAGCCUAAUUUCCCUCCUCAUGUCUGAAAUUCCCAUCCCCAGGAGCAUGAGUGGAAUUUAAUGGCUUGUCUCUAAUGAACAGAAUAAGGCAGAAGUGGUGGUCUCUGACUAGGUCAUAAAAGGGAUUGAGGCUUCCUCUUUGCUCUCACUUGGAUCACAGCCAGCUGCUCUGUCAUGAUGACACUUAAGCAGCUCAAUGGAGAGGCUACCUGGUGAGGAAUGAGGCCACCUUCCAACAGCCAGCAAGGAACUGCCACUUUCUGACAACAGCCAUGUGAGUCAUCGUGGAAGCUGAUCUUCCUGCUCCAGUCAAGCCUUUCAGAUGACUGCAGCACUGGCUAAUAUAUUGACUACAACUUCAUAAGAGACCCUGAGCCAGAACUCAAAGUUCUGACCCACGAAAACUAUGAGGCAUUCUUCUAGACAUUGGGGAUACAACAGAGCCUUCAUGACAGUGUCCCCUUGGAGACCCACAUCUCAGCUACCUCGGGCUUUAAACAUUUUACAAACACCCUCCUUCACAGAUGGAAGUGACCUUUCAUUCUUUACAGCCCCAUCUACACCCUGAACAAACAUGUAACAGUGUCUGGGACAACCUAUUGCAUCUACUCAUUGAGUGCCUGGUUCUCCUAUCUCUUGGGUUCUUUGAGGACUCAGUCAUAUGUGCAUCCACAAGCUUAGCACAGUGCCUCACGUAGACAACAUGGAACACAAAGCCGCAGGCAAUCUGCUUAGCAGCAGCAGGCAAUCUGAAUAAAAGGGUCAGGGAAGGCUAGGGAAGCUGGAUUGCCAGAAACCAUUUUUACUUACGCUUUGUACUUAUUUGGGUUGGCUGAGAGGAGCUCAUAGAGAUUAGGGAGCUAAUUCUCCCAAGCCACUUUCUUGAAUAAAUGAUAGUCAAGGAAAAAGUAGCUUCUCCAGCUAAAAUCUCAUUGAGGUCAGUGACUUAUUCACCUCUCUAUCUCCAAUAUAACAAUACUGCCUGGGGCAUAGCAGCCCAUGUUGAAUGUUUGUGAAGAUGAUCUGAAUUAAGGUUAGGAGUUCAAAACCAGCCUGGCCAACAAGGUGAAACCCC